ACCUGAGUGUCUCAGUCGGUUGAGCGUCUGACUUCAGCUCAGGUCAUGAUCUCACGGUUUGUGGGUUCAAGCCCCAUGUCAGGCU
rnacentral:tRNA from 1 species